UACGGGGGGGGCAAGCGUUGUUCGGAGUUACUGGGCGUAAAGCGCGUGUAGGCGGCCAUACAGGUCCGUUGUGAAAACUCGAGGCUUAACCUCGAGACGUCGAUGGAAACCGUAUGGCUAGAGUCCGGAAGAGGAGAGUGGAAUUCCUGGUGUAGCGGUGAAAUGCGCAGAUAUCAGGAAGAACACCCGUGGCGAAGGCGGCUCUCUGGGACGGUACUGACGCUGAGACGCGAAAGCGUGGGGAGCGAACAGG
rnacentral:rRNA from 1 species